UGCUCCGGCCGCCAUGGCCGCGGGAUUCGAUUAAGCCAUGCGAGUCGAAUGAAUUUAUAUUCAUGGCAUACGGCUCAGUAACACGUGGAUAACUUACCCUUAGGACUGGGAUAACUUUGGGAAACUGAAGAUAAUACCGGAUAUUAAGCUAUGCCUGCAAUGGUUUGCUUAUGAAAUGUUCUUCGCCUAAGGAUAGAUCUGCGGCUGAUUAGGUCGUUGGUGGGGUAAAGGCCCACCAAGCCGAUGAUCGGUACGGGUUGUGAGAGCAAGAGCCCGGAGAUGGAACCUGAGACAAGGUUCCAGACCCUACGGGGUGCAGCAGGCGCGAAACCUCCACAAUGUACGAAAGUGCGAUGGGGGGAUCCCAAGUGCUAUUCUUAACAGAGUAGCUUUUCAUUAGUGUAAAAAGCUUUUAGAAUAAGAGCUGGGCAAGACCGGUGCCAGCCGCCGCGGUAAUACCGGCAGCUCAAGUGGUAGCUGUUUUUAUUGGGCCUAAAGCGUUCGUAGCCGGUUUAAUAAGUCUCUGGUGAAAGCUUGUAGCUUAACUAUAAGAAUUGCUGGAGAUACUAUUAGACUUGAAGUCGGGAGAGGUUAGAGGUACUACCGGGGUAGGGGUGAAAUCCUAUAAUCCUGGGAGGACCACCUGUGGCGAAGGCGUCUAACUAGAACGAUCUUGACGGUGAGUAACGAAAGCCAGGGGCGCGAACCGGAUUAGAUACCCGGGUAGUCCUGGCCGUAAACGAUGUGGA
rnacentral:rRNA from 1 species